rnacentral:tRNA from 3 species
AUUCGUAAUCCAUUUGGACAUUUGAUUUGAAAUCAAAUUGUUUGUUUUUAUUAACAAUACGAAUU